CCAAAGGCUCUUUUAAGAGCCACCUACGCUUUCUGAUAAAAGAGC
rfam:Dipodomys ordii contig_70648, whole genome shotgun sequence.